UCGAUAAGACGGUUAAUUACUCGCGCUACGCGCUCGUGGCUAUACAUUAAGCUUCACUCAGGAUGUUAAAUCUCAUAUCGCACUCGUAGUCAUUAAUUAACCAUUACAUAGCAUAUCCUUACCUGAUUCGUAGUCAUCAAACGGGUUUUCUAGGACGUCUAUUUGAGCAGGGAUUAUUGAAGCAAUAGCCGAUGAUUGUUCGUCUGCUGGUGAUGUGGAUAUACCACCACCAGUUAAUUUAGCGGCCCGUUUUCUUUAGCAAGAACCUUUUUGGCACGCGUCUUCAAAUUUUCUCAACAUUUCUUAAGUUGCUUAGCAUCCCGUUUAGUUACACCGCACUGCGAAUUGAAUUCUUGCGUUUCUUUCCAGGACGUCCUUGUGCUUUGUUGCGAAAAGUACUGCCUGCUUUGCGACAUCUUGCACGUUGUCUUUGGAACUUCACAGCCGAGACAGAUCACACUCUUAACAUGUAUUCAUGAUUGUUUACUGAACUACACUGCAGUCAGUCACACUUGAGUUGAAGUCUUUGAAUACCAACUGGCCAGUUUGCUUAACAAAUGAGUGCGCCCUCUCAACGUAAAUAGUCAAACUCAAACUCGACUGAUACUCAUACAUCAAUCGCACUUGAGG
rnacentral:lncRNA from 1 species